AUAUAAUUUGCGCGAGUAUGACACCGUGUAUGAGUACAUGACCGUGGACAUUGUGACCAUAUUUUUGUGAAAAGUGUUUUUAAUCGGUGUACACUUUUCACGAUGUCAGGGGAAACGCACGAUGCUUCUUGGGCUCUUAAAUUACUUGAACGUGAACCAGAUUACGAACAAAAUUAUGUAGCAAAAAAUUGGGCUUAUAUAUGUGCGACAGCCUUCGGAGUUGCUGUACCCAUUGGUCUCAAUAUUUGGACCAGAAGACCUCUUUGGGCUGGUAUUCAAUAUCACUUCCUUUUCGGAGUCCUAGGAUUUGGAGCUGGACAUUUAUUAACAGAACGGGAUAAGUAUGUCCUUGCUCGUAGAGAUGCUAUUCUCCGAGACUAUAUCAGACUCCAUCCCGAAGAUUUUCCUGCCCCAGAGAGGAAAAAGAUUGGCGAACUCCUUGAGGACUGGGUGCCAGUUCGUUAAGGGUUUGAUUAUUACUACUUUUUAGAAUUACUAUAAAAACUUCUCGAGAGCUUGGGCCUGAGCAAAAGAGAAAUACCUAGGAGCGAAUCCCUGUACAUGCAUUCUAUUGAUGGCUGUUUUCAACAAUUUGAUGUUGCUUUUUUUUUCACGGGUCAAACAAUUCGCUCACUUUCGAAGAAAAUCGUAGAGAUAAAUAAACAAGAUUGAACAAAAGGUAGAAACAAACAACGCAUUCAUUCACACCACAAAUGUUCGAGAAUUCAAGUCACAAUCACAAAUAAAUGGCUUUUACACGA